UCUCUGAGAGAGAGCUUCAGCCGCCGGAGAAAAAAAAAAUUAGUUUGGCUCCCUCUGUUUCCACUAUCUCUCUCCCUCCUCCUCACGGUGCUCUCUCUCUUCGUCAUCAUCCGUUGGAUCUCUCUCUUUCCCCCGCAAUCUACUCUCCACGGAUCGGAGUCCUCUGCAUCUCACCUUCUCCUCGUCGCCGUUGUCAAUAGUCACGGCCGUGUCACGCUUGUUUACUUCCAUCUAUACUCCGUUUCUUCUCUACUUCGACUCGUAUUUUACCUUCACUCAGUUCCAACUGCCUUCUUCUCUUAGAAGCAAAAAAUCCCACAUCUCCUUCUCGCCUUCUCACCUUCUCACCAUCCCAAGGCGUGGUUCUUUUUAGUUAUUGGUGUAAAUCGAAACCAAAACUUAGUCUCUUGUUUUCUUCACGAUGAAUGAUCUUCUUAAGCCUUCUAGAAAAGAGUUCAGUUUGAUGGUGAAAUACUAUGGAAGAAAAGGUGAUGUGCAUCGUGCACGUGAGACUUUUGAGAGUAUGUGCGCUCGGCGUAUCACACCAACAUCACGUACAUACACAACUAACACAAGGCUCACAAAAGAUGGAGUUAUUUGUUGCUUUAAAUGUCAAAAACAUUCUCUUAGGUGUUUGCAUCGGAUCUCUACUCUUAUUCAGGGAACUAAAGCAUAAGAGACUCGUCAAGUUGAUGGGAUGUUGCUGCGAUGGAGAUGAUGACUUUGACUAGAUUCAUACAACCAUAGAUGAUGCAGAACAUUGUUAAUAGAGAGAGUUAACACAAUAGUAGGGAUCCUAGUUUUGAUUGUAUAAUAAGAAAAUGUUUGUGUCUUAUAAGUUGAAUAAAUCAAUCUAUUUUUUAUUCUUA